GCGGAUGUGGCGGAACCGGUAGACGCACCAGCUUUAGGUGCUGGCGAGGGAGACCUCGUGGGGGUUCGAGUCCCUCCAUCCGCA
rnacentral:tRNA from 1 species